rnacentral:rRNA from 1 species
CAACUUUCAACAACGGAUCUCUUGGCUCUCGCAUCGAUGAAGAACGCAGCGAAAUGCGAUAAGUAAUGUGAAUUGCAGAAUUCAGUGAAUCAUCGAAUCUUUGAACGCACCUUGCGCUCCUUGGUAUUCCGAGGAGUAUGCCUGUUUGAGUGUCAUUA